UACGUAGGGUGCGAGCGUUGUCCGGAAUUAUUGAGCGUAAAGGGCUCGUAGGCGGUCUGUCGCGUCGGGAGUGAAAACUCAGGGCUUAACCCUGAGCCUGCUUCCGAUACGGGCAGACUAGAGGUAUGCAGGGGAGAACGGAAUUCCUGGUGUAGCGGUGGAAUGCGCAGAUAUCAGGAGGAACACCGAUGGCGAAGGCAGGUCUCUGGGCAUUAACUGACGCUGAGGAGCGAAAGCAUGGGGAGCGAACAGG
rnacentral:rRNA from 1 species